AACGCUAGCUACAGGCUUAACACAUGCAAGUCGAGGGGCAGCAUAAAAGUAGCAAUACUUUGGUGGCGACCGGCGCACGGGUGAGUAACGCGUAUGCAACCUACCUAUCAGAGGGGAAUAACCCGGCGAAAGUCGGACUAAUACCGCAUAAAACAGGGGCACCGCAUGGUGAUAUUUGUUAAAGAAAUUCGCUGAUAGAUGGGCAUGCGUUCCAUUAGGUAGUUGGUGAGGUAACGGCUCACCAAGCCGACGAUGGAUAGGGGAACUGAGAGGUUGGUCCCCCACACUGGUACUGAGACACGGACCAGGCUCCUACGGGAGGCAGCAGUGAGGAAUAUUGGUCAAUGGGCGGGAGCCUGAACCAGCCAAGUCGCGUGAAGGAAGAAGGAUCUAUGGUUCGUAAACUUCUUUUGCAGGGGAAUAAAGUGCAGGACGUGUCCUGUUUUGUAUGUACCCUGAGAAUAAGGAUCGGCUAAUUCCGUGCCAGCAGCCGCGGUAAUACGGAGGAUCCGAGCGUUAUCCGGAUUUAUUGGGUUUAAAGGGUGCGUAGGUGGUUUGAUAAGUCAGCGGUGAAAGUUUGCAGCUUAACUGUAAAAAUGCCGUUGAAACUGUCGGACUUGAGUGUAAAUGAGGUAGGCGGAAUGCGUGGUGUAGCGGUGAAAUGCAUAGAUAUCACGAAGAACUCCGAUUG
rnacentral:rRNA from 1 species